UACAGAGGGUGCGAGCGUUAAUCGGAAUUACUGGGCGUAAAGCGUGCGUAGACGGCUAUCUAAGUCGGGUGUGAAAGCCCCGGGCUCAACCUGGGAAUUGCAUUCGAGACUGAAUAGCUAGGGUACGGUAGAGGGAAGUGGAAUUUCCGGUGUAGCGGUGAAAUGCGUAGAUAUCGGAAGGAACAUCAGUGGCGAAGGCAGCUCGCUGGAACGGUACUGAACGCUGAGGCGCGAAAGCGUGGGGAGCAAACAGGG
rnacentral:rRNA from 1 species